ACACGAACCGGACGAACGUUAUUCGGAAUCACUGGGCUUAAAGAGUCCGUAGGCGGCUAUGUAGGUGAGGUGUGAAAUCCCACGGCUCAACCGUGGAAUUGCGCCUCAAACCAUGUGGCUAGAGGGAGAUAGAGGAAAGCGGAACUGAUGGUGGAGCGGUGAAAUGCGUUGAUAUCAUCAGGAACACCGGUGGCGAAGGCGGCUUUCUGGGUCUCUUCUGACGCUGAGGGACGAAAGCUAGGGGAGCGAACGGGAUUAGAUACCCCAGUAGUCC
rnacentral:rRNA from 1 species